GAUGAACGCUGGCGGCGUGCCUAAUACAUGCAAGUCGAGCGAACAGACGAGGAGCUUGCUCCUCUGACGUUAGCGGCGGACGGGUGAGAAACACGUGGAUAACCUACCUAUAAGACUGGGAUAACUUCGGGAAACCGGAGCUAAUACCGGAUAAUAUAUUGAACCGCAUGGUUCAAUAGUGAAAGACGGUUUUGCUGUCACUUAUAGAUGGAUCCGCGCCGCAUUAGCUAGUUGGUAAGGUAACGGCUUACCAAGGCAACGAUGCGUAGCCGACCUGAGAGGGUGAUCGGCCACACUGGAACUGAGACACGGUCCAGACUCCUACGGGAGGCAGCAGUAGGGAAUCUUCCGCAAUGGGCGAAAGCUUGACGGAGCGACGCCGCGUGAGUGAUGAAGGUCUUCGGAUCGUAAAACUCUGUUAUUAGGGAAGAACAAAUGUAUAAGUAACUAUGCACGUCUUGACGGUACCUAAUCAGAAAGCCACGGCUAACUACGUG
rnacentral:rRNA from 1 species